rnacentral:tRNA from 1 species
GGUCUGGUAGUUCAGUUGGUUAGAAUACAUGCCUGUCACGCAUGAGGUCGCGGGUUCGAGUCCCGUCCAGACCGCAA